rnacentral:lncRNA from 1 species
AAAAUGGGAAUGCCUUCGCUGAGAAUCGAAGGAGGUAAGGACCAAAACGACGCCGCCCUCAUUAAAUGAGUUGGCAGCCAACUCAUCAGUCCAAGGUUGCGUGGAAGCGGUCAAAUGAACGAUGUCCAACCAAAUUGCCAUAAGGCGCUCGCGUGGCAUACAACAUGUAUAAACCCUAGCGCCAGCCAGGUCUGUACAGACGACGGCGGUCAAGGCGGAAACCACCGUCUC